rnacentral:rRNA from 1 species
AUUGAACGCUGGCGGCAUGCUUACCACAUGCAAGUCGAACGUUACCAGCCGGAAGGGUGCUGCCCGGGGGCGAACGGUGAGGUAAUCAUCCGAAAGGUUCCCAGUCGUGGGGGAAAAUUCUUGCAAAAAUAGGUUAAUACCGCUACCCACCAUUGGUGAAAGCUGGGGACCGUUAGGCCUUGGGCCAUUUGGGUGGCCGAUGUCAGAUUAGGUAGUUGGUGGGGUAAAGGCUCAACAAGCCAACGAUCUGUAGCCGGUCUGAGAGGACGACCAGCCACACUGGGACUGAGACACGGCCCAGACUCCUAGGGGAGGCAGCAGUGGGGAAUUUUGGACAAUGGGCGCAAGCCUGAUCCAGCAAUGCCGCGUGAAGGAAGAAGGCCUUCGGGUUGUAAACUGAUUUUGUACGGAACGAGACGGCUCUGGUUAAUACCCGGGGCUAAUGACGGUACCGGAAGAAUAAGCACCGGCUAACUACGUG